AGAGUUUGAUCAUGGCUCAGAUUGAACGCUGGCGGCAGGCUUAACACAUGCAAGUCGAGCGGUAACAGGGGGAGCUUGCUCCCUGCUGACGAGCGGCGGACGGGUGAGUAAUGCAUAGGAAUCUGCCCAGUAGUGGGGGAUAGCCCGGGGAAACCCGGAUUAAUACCGCAUACGCCCUUUGGGGGAAAGCAGGGGAUCUUCGGACCUUGCGCUAUUGGAUGAGCCUAUGUCGGAUUAGCUAGUUGGUGGGGUAACGGCCCACCAAGGCGACGAUCCGUAGCUGGUCUGAGAGGAUGAUCAGCCACAUCGGGACUGAGACACGGCCCGAACUCCUACGGGAGGCAGCAGUGGGGAAUAUUGGACAAUGGGGGCAACCCUGAUCCAGCCAUGCCGCGUGUGUGAAGAAGGCUUUCGGGUUGUAAAGCACUUUCAGUGAGGAGGAAAACCUUAUGGCGAAUACCCAUGAGGCUUGACGUUACUCACAGAAGAAGCACCGGCUAACUCCGUGCCAGCAGCCGCGGUAAUACGGAGGGUGCAAGCGUUAAUCGGAAUUACUGGGCGUAAAGCGCGCGUAGGUGGUUUGAUAAGCGAGAUGUGAAAGCCCCGGGCUUAACCUGGGAACGGCAUUUCGAACUGUCAGGCUAGAGUGUGGUAGAGGGUAGUGGAAUUUCCUGUGUAGCGGUGAAAUGCGUAGAUAUAGGAAGGAACACCAGUGGCGAAGCGGCUACCUGGACCAACACUGACACUGAGUGCGAAAGUGUGGGGAGCAAACAGGAUUAGAUACCCUGGUAGUCCACGCCGUAAACGAUGUCAACUAGCCG
rnacentral:rRNA from 1 species